UACGUAGGGCGCAAGCGUUAUCCGGAAUUAUUGGGCGUAAAGAGCUCGUAGGCGGUUUGUCGCGUCUGCCGUGAAAGUCCGGGGCUUAACUCCGGAUCUGCGGUGGGUACGGGCAGACUAGAGUGCAGUAGGGGAGACUGGGAUUCCUGGUGUAGCGGUGAAAUGCGCAGAUAUCAGGAGGAACACCGAUGGCGAAGGCAGGUCUCUGGGCUGUAACUGACGCUGAGGAGCGAAAGCAUGGGGAGCGAACAGG
rnacentral:rRNA from 1 species